rnacentral:rRNA from 1 species
GAUCAUGGCUCAGGAUGAACGCUAGCUACAGGCUUAACACAUGCAAGUCGAGGGGCAGCGGGAUUGAGCUUGCUUCAAUUGCCGGCGACCGGCGCACGGGUGAGUAACGCGUAUCCAACCUUCCGUACACUCAGGGAUAGCCUUUCGAAAGAAAGAUUAAUACCUGAUGGUAUGAUGAGAUUGCAUGAUAGCAUCAUUAAAGAUUUAUCGUGUACGAUGGGAGUG